rnacentral:rRNA from 1 species
AGAGUUUGAUCCUGGCUCAGAACGUACGCUGGCGGCACGCCUAACACAUGCAAGUCGAACGAAGUAGCAAUACUUAGUGGCAGACGGGUGAGUAACAUGUAGGUAUCUGCCCUUUGGCCUGGAAUAACACGAGGAAACUUGUGCUAAUACCGGAUAAGUCUUUACGGAGAAAGCUUUAUGCACCAUUGGAUGAGCCUGCACUUGAUUAGUUUGUUGGUGGGGUAAUGGCCUACCAAGACUGUGAUCAAUAGCUGAUUUGAGAGGAUGAUCAGCCACAUUGGGACUGAGACACGGCCCAAACUCCUACGGGAGGCAGCAGUGGGGAAUCUUGCACAAUGGAGGAAACUCUGAUGCAGCGAUGCCGCGUGAGUGAAGAAGGCCCUUGGGUUGUAAAGCUCUUUCGUCGGGGAAGAAAAUGACUGUACCCGAAUAAGAAGGUCCGGCUAACUUCGUGCCAGCAGCCGCGGUAAUACGAAGGGACCUAGCGUAGUUCGGAAUUACUGGGCUUAAAGAGUUCGUAGGUGGUUGAAAAAGUUAGUGGUGAAAUCCCAGAGCUUAACUCUGGAACUGCCAUUAAAACUUUUCAGCUAGAGUAUGAUAGAGGAAAGCAGAAUUUCUAGUGUAGAGGUGAAAUUCGUAGAUAUUAGAAAGAAUACCAAUUGCGAAGGCAGCUUUCUGGAUCAUUACUGACACUGAGGAACGAAAGCAUGGGUAGCGAAGAGGAUUAGAUACCCUCGUAGUCCAUGCCGUAAACGAUGUGUGUUAGACGUUGGAAAUUUAUUUUCAGUGUCGCAGGGAAACCGAUAAACACACCGCCUGGGGAGUACGACCGCAAGGUUAAAACUCAAAUGAAUUGACGGGGACCCGCACAAGUAGUGGAGCAUGUGGUUUAAUUCGAAGAUACGCGCAGAACCUUACCAACACUUGACAUGUUCGUCGCGACUCUAAGAGAUUAGAGUUUUCGGUUCGGCCGGACGAAACACAGGUGCUGCAUGGCUGUCGUCAGCUCGUGUCGUGAGAUGUUGGGUUAAGUCCCGCAACGAGCGCAACCCUCACUUUUAGUUGCCAUCAUUAAGUUGGGCACUCUGAAAGAACUGCCAGUGAUAAGCUGGAGGAAGGUGGGGAUGACGUCAAGUCCUCAUGGCCCUUACGUGUUGGGCUACACACGUGCUACAAUGGUAUCUACAACAGGAAGCAA